GACAGAGGGUGCAACGUUGUUCGGAAUUACUGGGCGUAAAGCGCAGGUAGGCGGUUGGAUAAGUUUCUUGUGAAAGCUCCCGGCUUAACUGGGAGAGGCCAAGGAAGUACUAUCUGACUAGAGUGUGGUAGGGGUAACUGGAAUUCCCGGUGUAGCGGUGAAAUGCGUAGAUAUCGGGAGGAAUACCUAUGGCGAAGGCAGGUUACUGGGCCAUCACUGACGCUGAGCUGCGAAAGCUAGGGGAGCAAACAGG
rnacentral:rRNA from 1 species